AGUGAACGCUGGCGGUAGGCCUAACACAUGCAAGUCGAACGGCAGCACAGUAAGAGCUUGCUCUUACGGGUGGCGAGUGGCGGACGGUUGAGGGAUACAUCGGAAUCUACUUUUUCGUGGGGGAUAACGUAGGGACACUUACGCUAAUACCCCAUACGACCUACGGGUGAAAGCAGGGGAUCUUCGGACCUUGCGCGAUUGUAUGAGCCGAUGUCGGAUUAGCUAGUUGGCGGGGUAAAGGCCCACCAAGGCGACGAUCCGUAGCUGGUCUGAGAGGAUGAUCAGCCACACUGGAACUGAGACACGGUCCAGACUCCUACGGGAGGCAGCAGUGGGGAAUAUUGGACAAAGGGCGCAAGCCUGAUCCAGCCAUACCGCGUGUGUGAAGAAGGCCUUCGGGUUGUAAAGCCCUUUUGUUGGGAAAGAAAAGCAGCAGGUUAAUACCCCGCUGUUCUGACGGUACCCAAAGAAUAAGCACCGGCUAACUUCGUG
rnacentral:rRNA from 1 species